CGACGAUCCUGAUCAGGUCACCGGUGAGACUAAUAUAUCCAUGGUGUUAUUUUUUUUUAAUGAUCAAUUAUUUCUUUCAUUGGUCUACACCAUGCAUUUUUAAUCUCAGGGUUCUCUGAAGAAUAUCAUCU